rnacentral:lncRNA from 1 species
AAACUUUCUCGGAUUAGGUUGAAAGUUGGCGUGCCGCCUUAUUAUAGUGUAGGUAGGCCACCUGCCAAAUUUCAUCGCAAUGGGAGUCUGUUUGAUAGCCGAACCAUUAAACCUGUAGCGGGACUAUAGCCAGUUUAAUUGUGGGACAUUUUUGGCUUUAGAAACUUCGUGUCUCGCCGCAAACUUCCCUUUCAUCACAACCCAACCAGCCCACCUAAGCCUACCUAACCCUGGGGCGCAUCCGGAGCCGUCCGAUUGCAAUCGAAGGGCUCGAAACGCCCAAAAAACCCUAAAAAACGAAGCCCCCUCCUAUGAAUAGCUAGCCUCCCCUUCCAAAACUGGUUGUCUCUCUCCUCCUAAGAAUCCGAGCCCCGCCGCUUCCUCAACGCCACUUAUCUUGCAAGAGCC